UACGUAGGGGGCAAGCGUUGUCCGGAUUUAUUGGGCGUAAAGAGCGUGUAGGCGGUUAGGUAGGUCCGCUGUGAAAACUCGAGGCUCAACCUCGAGAUGUCGGCGGAAACCACUUGGCUAGAGUCCGGAAGAGGAGAGUGGAAUUCCCGGUGUAGCGGUGAAAUGCGCAGAUAUCGGGAAGAACACCUAUGGCGAAGGCAGCUCUCUGGGACGGUACUGACGCUGAGACGCGAAAGCGUGGGGAGCGAACAGG
rnacentral:rRNA from 1 species